rnacentral:rRNA from 1 species
UUCGCAAUGCCCGAAAGGGUGAACGAGCGACGCCGCGUGCGGGAUGAAGGGUUUCGGCUUGUAAACCGCUUUUCUUUGGGAAGAAGGUCUGUCUCGUGAAGAUGGGCUCGACGGUACCAGAGGAAUAAGCCUCGGCUAACUACGUGCCAGCAGCCGCGGUAAUACGUAGGGUGCAAGCGUUAAUCGGAAUUAUUGGGUGUAAAGGGCGCGUAGACGGAUUAGAAAGUUAGUUGUGAAAUCUCUGCAGCUUAACUCAGAAACUGCAACUAAAACUUCUAACCUUGAGUGCAGGAGAGGAAAGUGGAAUUUCUAGUGUAGCGGUGAAAUGCGUAGAUAUUAGGAGGAACACCAGUGGCGAAGGCGACUUUCUGGACUGUAACUGACGUUGAGGCGCGAAAGUGUGGGGAGCAAACAGGAUUAGAUACCCUGGUAGUCCACACCGUAAACGAUGGGCACUAAGUAGAGGGGUUUU